GUGGGGAAUAUUGGACAAUGGGCGCAAGCCUGAUCCAGCCAUGCCGCGUGAGUGAUGAAGGCCUUAGGGUUGUAAAGCUCUUUCAGUGGGGACGAUAAUGACGGUACCCACAGAAGAAGCCCCGGCUAACUUCGUGCCAGCAGCCGCGGUAAUACGAAGGGGGCUAGCGUUGUUCGGAUUUACUGGGCGUAAAGCGCACGUAGGCGGAUCGUUAAGUCGGGGGUGAAAUCCUGGAGCUCAACUCCAGAACUGCCUUCGAUACUGGCGAUCUUGGGUCCGGAAGAGGUGAGUGGAACUCCUAGUGUAGAGGUGGAAUUCGUAGAUAUUAGGAAGAACACCAGUGGCGAAGGCGGCUCACUGGUCCGGUACUGACGCUGAGGUGCGAAAGCGUGGGGAGCAAACAGGAUUAGAAACCCCAGUAGUCC
rnacentral:rRNA from 1 species